rnacentral:rRNA from 1 species
AGCGAACGCUGGCGGCAGGCCUAACACAUGCAAGUCGAGCGAACCUUUCGGGGUUAGUGGCGGACGGGUGAGUAACACGUGGGAACGUGCCUUUAGGUUCGGAAUAACUCAGGGAAACUUGUGCUAAUACCGAAUGUGCCCUUCGGGGGAAAGAUCUAUCGCCUUUAGAGCGGCCCGCGUCUGAUUAGCUAGUUGGUUGAGGUAAUGGCUCACCAAGGCGACGAUCAGUAGCUGGUCUGAGAGGAUGAUCAGCCACAUUGGGACUGAGACACGGCCCAAACUCCUACGGGAGGCAGCAGUGGGGAAUCUUGCGCAAUGGGCGAAAGCCUGACGCAGCCAUGCCGCGUGAAUGAUGAAGGUCUUAGGAUUGUAAAAUUCUUUCACCGGGGACGAUAAUGACGGUACCCGGAGAAGAAGCCCCGGCUAACUUCGUG